rnacentral:rRNA from 1 species
GAGUUUGAUCCUGGCUCAGAAUCAACGCUGGCGGCGUGCCUAAUACAUGCAAGUCGAACGCGAAAGUGGAGCAAUCCAUGAGUAGAGUGGCAAACGGGUGAGUAACGCGUGGGUGACCUGCCUUCGAGCGGGGGAUAACGUCCCGAAAGGGACGCUAAUACCGCAUAACAUGCCGCCUUUUAACAGGUGGACAUCAAAGCUGGGGAUCGCAAGACCUAGCACUUGAAGAGGGGCCCGCGUCUGAUUAGCUAGUUGGUGGGGUAAUGGCUCACCAAGGCAACGAUCAGUAUCCGGCCUGAGAGGGCGGACGGACACACUGGGACUGAGACACGGCCCAGACUCCUACGGGAGGCAGCAGUGGGGAAUUGUUCGCAAUGGGCGCAAGCCUGACGACGCAACGCCGCGUGGAGGAUGAAGACCUUCGGGUCGUAAACUCCUUUCGAUCGAGACGAAUGGCCUCCGGGUGAACAAUCCGGAGGAGUGACGGUACCGAGAGAAGAAGCCCCGGCUAACUCCGUGCCAGCAGCCGCGGUAAUACGGGGGGGGCAAGCGUUGUUCGGAAUUACUGGGCGUAAAGAGUUGCGUAGGUGGCAGAGUAAGCGGACAGUGAAAGCGUGUGGCUCAACUAUACAUACAUUGUCUGAACUGCUCAGCUAGAGAGUGAGAGAGGUAGUUGGAAUUCCCAGUGUAGGAGUGAAAUCCGUAGAUAUUGGGAGGAACACCGAUGGCGUAGGCAGACUACUGGCUCAUUUCUGACACUAAGGCACGAAAGCGUGGGGAGCGAACGGGAUUAGAUACCCCGGUAGUCCACGCCGUAAACUAUGGAUGCUAGCUGUUAUUCGUAUCGACCCGAGUAGUAGCGAAGCUAACGCGUUAAGCAUCCCGCCUGUGGAGUACGGUCGCAAGACUAAAACAUAAAGGAAUUGACGGGGACCCGCACAAGCGGUGGAGCGUGUUGUUUAAUUCGAUGGUAAGCGAAGAACCUUACCAGGGCUUGACAUCCUGCUAAUUUCUCCGAAAGGAGAGAGUGCCUUCGGGCCGCAGUGACAGGUGUUGCAUGGCCGUCGUCAGCUCGUGUCGUGAGAUGUUUGGUUAAGUCCAUCAACGAGCGCAACCCUUGUGAUUAGUUGAAUUUUUCUAAUCAGACUGCCCCGGCAACGGGGAGGAAGGAGGGGAUGAUGUCAGGUCAGUAUUACCCUUACGCCCUGGGCUACAAACACGCUACAAUGGCCGGUACAAAGGGCAGCCAAGUCGCAAGACGGAGCAAAUCCCAUCAAAGCCGGUCUCAGUUCGGAUUGCAGGCUGAAACCCGCCUGCAUGAAGCUGGAAUCGCUAGUAACGGUAGGUCAGCACACUACCGUGAAUACGUUCCCGGGUCUUGUACACAC